GAUGAACGCUGGCGGCGUGCCUAAUACAUGCAAGUCGAGCGAAUGGAUUAAGAGCUUGCUCUUAUGAAGUUAGCGGCGGACGGGUGAGUAACACGUGGGUAACCUGCCCAUAAGACUGGGAUAACUACGGGAAACCGGGGCUAAUACCGGAUAACAUUUUGAACCGCAUGGUUCGAAAUUGAAAGGCGGCUUCGGCUGUGACUUAUGGGUGGACCCGCGUCGCAUUAGCUAGUUGGUGAGGUAACGGCUCACCAAGGCAACGAUGCGGAGCCGACCUGAGAGGGUGAUCGGCCACACUGGGACUGAGACACGGCCCAGACUCCUACGGGAGGCAGCAGUAGGGAAUCUUCCGCAAUGGACGAAAGUCUGACGGAGCAACGCCGCGUGAGUGAUGAAGGCUUUCGGGUCGUAAAACUCUGUUGUUAGGGAAGAACAAGUGCUAGUUGAAUAAGCUGGCACCUUGACGGUACCUAACCAGAAAGCCACGGCUAACUACGUGCCAGCCGCCGCAGUAA
rnacentral:rRNA from 1 species